UCCGUAGGUGAACCUGCGGAGGGAUCAUUACACAAAUAUGAAGGCGGGCUGGAACCUCUCGGGGUUACAGCCUUGCUGAAUUAUUCACCCUUGUCUUUUGCGUACUUCUUGUUUCCUUGGUGGGUUCGCCCACCACUAGGACAAACAUAAACCUUUUGUAAUUGCAAUCAGCGUCAGUAACAAAUUAAUAAUUACAACUUUCAACAACGGAUCUCUUGGUUCUGGCAUCGAUGAAGAACGCAGCGAAAUGCGAUAAGUAGUGUGAAUUGCAGAAUUCAGUGAAUCAUCGAAUCUUUGAACGCACAUUGCGCCCUUUGGUAUUCCAAAGGGCAUGCCUGUUCGAGCGUCAUUUGUACCCUCAAGCUUUGCUUGGUGUUGGGCGUCUUGUCUCUAGCUUUGCUGGAGACUCGCCUUAAAGUAAUUGGCAGCCGGCCUACUGGUUUCGGAGCGCAGCACAAGUCGCACUCUCUAUCAGCAAAGGUCUAGCAUCCAUUAAGCCUUUUUUUCAACUUUUGACCUCGGAUCAGGGUAGGGAUACCCGCUGAACUUAAGCAUAUCAAUAAGCGGAGGA
rnacentral:rRNA from 1 species